UUAAUUUUUCAAAACGCCGAAAAAAACGGCGUUCUGUUUCGACAAACGCCGUUUUUUCCGACUCUCACAUGGCGCCCUGAACGCACCAUCCGAGUGACGUAAAAAGCGGCGUUCAAAGACAGACGGAAACGCCGUUUUUUCCGCCACUCGGCAGAAAACGCCUUUCAAAGAUGCAUAAAAACGGCGUUUUUUACGGCGUUCUGUGCCAGCUGUAACGGCGUUUAAAACGGCGUUUUAUUGAAAUUAUGCAGGGCACUCCCCAUGGUUCCCUCAUCCAAUUACUUUCAACUCAUUUCACCCAAUCAAAGAAGAGGAAGUGCAGACCACACUAAUGCAUCACCGAUUCACCUUGCUGCUAAGUGAUUGCCUAUUCCGUACCAGUGCUUGUCACAGUAUUGACUUGUAUUAUAAUCCCACUAUGCAUUUUGAUGUGUUUAAGGCAUGAUCAAGCAAACAAACGACAGAAUACUUUUUCUGAAACCUUAACUGUGGUACCUGUUAUGGCAGCUAACAGACACUCGGCGCAUGGCUCCUUUGUUUACGUUAGGGAUCAGCUGUUAGCGCUGCGCCCUUCAGCUGCGCUACCGGCAGACAGACCCUACGUCCCCAGUGAGGGAAGAGACGGGGGUGAUGUCUCCCGAGAAAGACACCUUACACACCAUCUCUCCUUCCUGUAAUCACUGUAAACGUGAGAUCGCUCCCUGAUAUGAUUGAGGAGCUAAUGACGCUAACCCGGUCACAGUGGCAGUACCCCGACACUGCCCGGUACUCCCUCUGUGAGUAGGCUGCCCGGCUGCCAGCUGCUGCGGCCGGACAAGACGAGAGACAGCGGUGAGAGGAAAGGAGGGGGGCUGGCAGUGUUUGUUAAAGACAGUUGUGGUAUCCCUGAGCACAUUGCUGUGAAAGAACAACUCUGCAACAGAGACAUUGAGCUAUUAGCCGUUAGCAUCCGUGGAGGCAGCCUGUGACUCUCUGUGGUCCGCAGACUGCAGACGCAAUCUCCGAGAGCUCUUCUUCUAAUAUCAGGGGACUUUAAUCAUGUCUCGCUGGACUCCACACUGACCACCUUCACCCAGUAUGUGACCUGCCCCACCGUAGGCAAUAAAACAUUGUACUUAAUGUAUGCCAAUGAAAAAGUGGCAUACAGUUCAUCACCUCUCCCUGCCCAGGGAAGAUCUGAUCGUAACCUAGUGCGCCUUGUCCCUGUGUGCAGCACUUAGUGUGCACGGAGCCACUAAUCACCCACGCAGUGCCGAGAUGGUCCGCGGAAGGCAUAUGAAUAAAUAAUAAAAGCAAAUAAAUGACAGAAUGCAUUUUCUGAAACAAACGGAGACCUUAACUUUUAUCAAAAUACCGUUUUACUCAGUUUAAAGUAAUACCACUGUAUAAUAGCCUUCAAAUUUAAUAAUGUUAACAGUAUCUCAGGAAUAUUUUUGCCCCAUCAACAUGCAUUAAAAAUAGAUAUGCAGUUUUGAAUCAGACCUGUAUGUACGUUUUCUGAAAAGUGAUGUAAAUAAAUAAUCUCAAAAACAUGAAAUAAUUGUUUCCCAUGUAAACUGGAGUUGUCCUUGUCAAUGUCAUCAGAGUACUCUGGAUGUCUUACAUGAAUUUGAAACAGAGAGUGGCACAUGACAGCGUUGUACAUAACAUAACUAGUUUACCUGUAUGACAUGAAGUAAUU